CCGCCGCCGCCGACGACGACGACGACGAUGCAUGCAUGGCCCGAACAUAUAAUUAAACUAUUAAUUGUCUGCGCGCGCGUACGUAUUCAAUUAUUGCAUCGAAUAAUUGCGCUCCAGUUACAAACUGUUGGUCCACUGUUUGUGGUGUGAUGCUAUUCACGAUUCCUUUUUUUUUGGAAUUGUUUUUUUACCCUCUUUUGGGAACUGAGAUGUUGAGGAAUUUCUUCUCGUGUUUGAACGAAUUUAUACGAAAAUUGCCACUGCAGUUUAAGUAUGAACAAACAUAGAGAUAAGAGAAGAGAGUUUAUCAAACGUCUCUUGUCUCGUCAACAAGUGACUUCUUUCUUUUAUUUUCGAGAGCUAGAAAAAUUACAAGCGCGGUUUAUAUGUACGAGUCUGGCGAUUGUUUACCCAACACGAGAAAACGUUGGGUUGCCUGCUAGUCGUAGCCUAGUUGUUCCUGCACGUGUACGCACAUAUCUAGGGAAAUACUGCCUCUCUAAAACUUUAUUUUUCGGUUUUUGUUUCUAGCAUUUGACCAUCCG
rnacentral:lncRNA from 1 species